UACGAAGGGGGGCUAGCGUUGUUCGGAAUCACUGGGCGUAAAGCGCACGUAGGCGGAUUGUUAAGUCAGGGGUGAAAUCCUGGAGCUCAACUCCAGAACUGCCUUUGAUACUGGCGAUCUUGAGUCCGGGAGAGGUGAGUGGAACUGCGAGUGUAGAGGUGAAAUUCGUAGAUAUUCGCAAGAACACCAGUGGCGAAGGCGGCUCACUGGCCCGGUACUGACGCUGAGGUGCGGAAAGCGUGGGGAGCAAACAGGG
rnacentral:rRNA from 1 species